rnacentral:lncRNA from 1 species
UCACCUUCAAGAUUUCUAUUCUUCUGAACUUUAUUGGAACUUAGUUCAACACUAUAUGGUUCCAAAGGUACCUUAUUAUCAAAUUACAAACCGAGUAAGCUCAAGACACUACAGUACCCCCAGCAUCACGAAAUAUACCCUCUGCUCUUGAGGCUCUCCACAGCAUCCCUUAUGAUCUUCUCCAUGGGGCUGAACUGCAUACCCAUCGCGAUGAGCUUCUUCGAUCCUACUACCUUUGCUCUCACCAGCCCAGGCUGGGUAUCAUCCUUGGGGAACCUGCGCGCAAAACAACAACACAAAGUCUAAAUCUCAAGCACACCCAGAUAUUUCAACAGUAGAAAACGCAAGCAUUCCCAGAUAUUGCUCUCUGACUAACAUAAACAGCUAACUUCAUUCAUUUUUCAUCUUGAAAAGGUUUGGAUGGUGGCUUACUUUAUCGCGUUGGCGCGAGAUUUCCAUUCUGAUCAUACCAUCAUUAGAUACAUUAUUCAUGGUGAAAGUGAAAUAGGUAGGCUC